UGGGGAAUUUUGCGCAAUGGGGGAAACCCUGACGCAGCAACGCCGCGUGAGUGAUGAAGGCCUUCGGGUCGUAAAGCUCUGUCAGAGGGGAAGAAAUGCAGGGGUGCUAAUAUCAUCUUUGCUUGACGGUACCCUCAAAAGAAGCACCGGCUAACUCCGUGCCAGCAGCCGCGGUAAUACGGAGGGUGCGCGCGGGGUUCGGAAUUAUUGGGCGUAAAGCGCGUGUAGGCGGUUUGGUAAGUCUGAUGUGAAAGCCCCGGGCUCAACCUGGGAAGUGCAUUGGAAACUGUCAGACUUGAAUACGGGAGAGGGUAGUGGAAUUCCUAGUGUAGGAGUGAAAUCCGUAGAUAUUAGGAGGAACACCGGUGGCGAAGGCGGCUACCUGGACCGAUAUUGACGCUGAGACGCGAAAGCGUGGGGAGCAAACAG
rnacentral:rRNA from 1 species